rnacentral:rRNA from 1 species
AUACGGAGGGUGCAAGCGUUAUUCGGAAUCACUGGGCGUAAAGGACGCGUAGGCGGGUUGGCAAGUCAGAUGUGAAAUCCUACAGCUUAACUGUAGAACUGCAUUUGAAACUGCUAACCUAGAGUAUGGGAGGGGGAGAUGGAAUUAGUGGUGUAGGGGUAAAAUCCGUAGAUAUCACUAGGAAUACCGAAAGCGAAGGCGAUCUCCUGGAACAUAACUGACGCUAAGGCGUGAAAGCGUGGGGAGCAAACAGGAUUAGAUACCCCGGUAGUCC